CAGCCACAUCACAGUGAAACACCAGUUCCCUUACGAACACUGCAGUUAAGCAACGCCACACCUGGUCAGUACUGAGAUGGGUGACCACUUAAAAAUACUAGAUACUGUA